UUUGCUGACGACCGGCGCACGGGUGCGUAACGCGUAUGCAACCUACCUCAUACUGGAGGAUAGCCCCUGGAAACGGGGAUUAAUACUCAAUAGUAUCACAAUUUCGCAUGUUAUUGUGAUUAAAGUUUUUCGGUAUGAGAUGGGCAUGCGUCCCAUUAGCUUGUUGGUGAGGUAACGGCUCACCAAGGCAACGAUGGGUAGGGGGCCUGAGAGGGUGGUCCCCCACACUGGUACUGAGACACGGACCAGACUCCUACGGGAGGCAGCAGUGAGGAAUAUUGGUCAAUGGAGGAAACUCUGAACCAGCCAUGCCGCGUGAAGGAUGACGGCCCUAUGGGUUGUAAACUUCUUUUAUAGAGGAAGAAACUUGUCUAUGUGUAGACAACUGACGGUACUCUACGAAUAAGGAUCGGCUAACUCCGUGCCAGCAGCCGCGGUAAUACGGAGGAUCCAAGCGUUAUCCGGAUUCAUUGGGUUUAAAGGGUCCGUAGGCGGAUUUUUAAGUCAGUGGUGAAAGCCGACAGCUCAACUGUCGAACUGCCAUUGAUACUGGAAAUCUUGAGUACAAAUGAAGUAGGCGGAAUGAGUCAUGUAGCGGUGAAAUGCAUAGAUAUGACUCAGAACACCGAUUGCGAAGGCAGCUUACUAACAUGUAACUGACGCUGAGGGACGAAAGCGUGGGGAGCGAACAGGAUUAGAUACCCUGGUAGUCCACGCCGUAAACGAUCAUCACUCGCUGUUGGCGAUAUACUGUCAGCGGCCAAGCGAAAGUAUUAAGUG
rnacentral:rRNA from 1 species